UCGGUUCCGGGGCUGCCUUCUAAGGCUGUGGGGAUGGGAUGAUAGGAAGAGUAGGAAGACAGUAUAAUAUGGCUUCCUAGUCCAAAACAAGAUAGUGCCCUCGGUUGUGUGGGCAGGUUUCUCCUUUUCAUUUUUUCAUCUUGUGAAACUGAAACGUUUUUUGAAAUAGCCUCUUCUGCAUCUGUGUUGUUCAUGUCUUCCUAUGCUCAUGGUCUUGACUAUUCUUUAAUUUCUGCUAAAAGAACUCUCAGACAAGGCAUUCUCUUUAUUUCAGUCACUCACUAUUUGCUAAUGUUGAAUUUAAAUUCAGUUUCAACAGAGGGUUUGAUAGUAGCUCGUAUCCUACCUGGAACUGAAAGUCAUAGAGACACAGCCGCACACCAGCCGCAUGUGUCUAUCAGCAGGGACCCAGAGGUUUUCCCUGGUGCAGGCUUAGUCCUGGCUGUUCCAUUGGUGAUACGUGGUGUAGCUGAGGCAGACUACUUGGUUUUAUUUAACAGCCUCCAAUCUUCCACUCUUUGGUCUUCACUUUUCCUGAGUAACUCUCUUUAAUAAACUCUUUGUUCAGCCUCUGAAAUGUCCCCAGCUAUUAGAAGCUUUAGUUGGGCAUGCAGUAACGGAGCCAACAUCAAAGGGCCCAAGACACCUAAUCACAUAAUCACUGCUGUCUUGAAAUUUUGCACAAAACAAAACUUCAAGAAACAAAAACAAAAACCUGUCACAUGAAAUCCAAUUUGAUCAUUCAAUGGAAGUCCCGUGGAUCACUUUGUUAUUAUCUGCCCUUAAUCCUUGCUCCCUUUCUCUUAGCUGGCUUGUCUAAAUUCAUCUGCAGUCAGAGGUUCCUCACUUUUUCCUCAGCUUCUGGACUCACUUUCAGUGUGCCUUCCCAGGCAGGAAGUAGAGAGAUAAGCCUCACUUCACAGACUUGUGAGCCAGACCUCAAGGUUUGAAUCCUAGCUCUACCAGGAUGAUCACUGUGGUUUGGGGCAAAUUAUUUAAUCUUUCUGAGUCUCCAUUUUCUCAUUUGUAAAUAACUCAUGAUUCGGCAGGUGAUCACUGCUAUUUGGGGUAAGGUAUUUAAUCUCUUUGAGUCUCAAUUUUCUCAUCUGCGAACAACCCUCUUACAGUUUGGGGUGGGGGAGCUAAAUGAGAUAUUUUAUAUAAAGUGACUAGCCAAAUGCCUGGCACAUGGUAGGCUUAUGACAGAUGUGCGUUUACUGUGGUCAAGGUUUGGUUUACUUCUGCCCUGUGAACACAAAUGAGCUUGACUGAAUGUCCAUAAUUCUAGAUCACUAGCCCAUCUUAACCCGAGACUUUCCUGCUUUUUUGAAUCUAGCCUGACUUUGUCAACCUCUGGACUGUCUUUCAUCUCUGCUAACUCUGGUAGCUCUUGGCACAUGUCCUGCUUUUCUGGACUAUUGACAUCUAGCUUGUUUCCUGGUGAUUAUAGGACUUCUAGGAUAUGUUUGGACACCCUGGAUGUCUUACCUUGUAGCUUAUUCCUGAUUUCCAGAAACCACAGUCUUUACUUGUAUAAUUCUAACUGCCUAAUUCACACAGUUCCUCUAGGUAUUUUAUGAAACCUGGCAUCUAUUACUCAGUUAUUGCCUCAAGCCCAAGAUAAGUUUAGAUUCCUAUUAAAACAUGGCAUAUUUAAGAACAAUGUCUUUCUCCCACAAUUUGACAUCCUUGUGGGUGAGAUGUCUUCCUUUUCCCUGCUUCUCUAGCACCUAGCACAAUGCCCAGCAUAUAAUAGACAUUCAAUGCGUGAGUAUAUAAGUGAAUAAAUAAAUGGCACAAAUGAAACUCUGGGGUUCAUAUUUCUAUGCUUUGGCCAUCUGAAAUACAGAAGUAUAUUAUUCCUUUGGUGUACUUUAUUUUAAAAACAAAAGCUUCUUUUUAUUUUGCUGAAAAUCUUUGAACCCACUUGGAAAACAGUGUAAUUAGUUAUUUUUAAAACUUUCAUUAUGUGCCCAGGCAUCUAGAACUCUCACUUAUUUAAUGUAUUCAAACUUUUCUUAUGCAGAGGAAACAAAUUCUUAAAAUAGAACUGAUCUCUAGUCGAAUAACCAUUCUAAGUAUGAAAUCCUCCUUGGCAGCUGCUGACAUUUGUCCAAGCACAUUGACUAUAUUGGUCUUUUUGGGCUCCAGCUUUGUUCAUUUCUUGAUCAUCAGCUGUAAAGUCCUGGGCUGGGAUGUAUUUUCAACCAUGCAGUUUAUAAACCAACCCUCAAAUAAGAGGCUGCUUCUAAAGCUGUACAUUGUAUACUGUUCUAAAUAGCUGGACAAAACCAGGAUGGAAAUACUGAUUGUUUUAAAGUAUCAUUCUUAAUUCAUUUACUCCUGCUCUUUUUUCUGAAGGAAGAACAGAAGUGGUAUGUCAGAAACACUGCUCUUAAGGAGCUUUAUUUUCACUGGAGAGGCUAGGCUUGAAUUUCAAAACAAUUGUCUCUGACGGUUGUACUGUACAGAGAGGCAAGGGUGUGGUGGGCUGGCACAGGCAGAAAAGCAUCUAGGGAAGAGAGAAGACUUGAUCUGGAACUUGCUGGGGUCUGAGGCAGGGUGAGAGCCUGGGGAAGGCUGCAUACAGUGUGUGCUGACAGGCUUGGAGCAGAAGGGCUAGCUGGGGACUGGCUUGGAGUGUCCUGGGGGCCAGGCAGGGACCACACAAUGAUCUCCAGUCUAUGGAACAGUUGGCAGCCCCCUUGUCCCUCUGUACAUUUGUCACCGGGGUAUUCUUGCUUCCCCACCCACCCAUUCCAGCGUCCCCACCCACCUUGAGGCUGAGCUCCUCUUCUGAAUCUCAGAUGCUUCACCAGUGUAUUUCUUCUGCUUGCCCAGACUUUAUCGUGGCCUUUCUUAGCCACUAUCCACACGCUUCUUCAGAUUAUUUGCCUUUUUACUGACAAUCAAAACUUCGAUUCCCUCUGGGUUACUGGUCUUGAACAAAAGAGGUCAACUAGUUUUUCUCACCGAAGAUAUUUACUCCUUCGUAUUUCCAUUUUAAGGGAAAUUAUUAACUCGAACACAUCUUUGAUCUUAGCACGUGUGGGGGAGAAAAACAAAAAUUGCUAUUGGAUUCUGCAAGAUUGUUUACUGCUCUAUUCCAGAAUAAUGUGCACUGAGACAGAUUAUCUUAGGUGGAGGAGAAAAAAUAUGGGAGAUCUCAAAAGAAUAGUUAAAGAGGUGGGACUCCUAUAGGGAUGAAGUAAAAAGCAUAUGAAUGGACAUUAUAAAGAACCAUUGCUUGGAAUAGACAGAGGUUGAACUAUAUUUAUGGUGGAUAAUUGUGUAGCGGAGGGUAUGAAUCACUCUCAGAGGCCCCAGAUGAGUCAAAAGAACUGCUAAUUAUGUCUUUUUGUGCAGUUUGGGGCCAUGAGUAAAAAUAUCUGGGUAUCAUGAUUGAUACCAGCAUGUGUAGAAAUAGAUUAAAGUGAAAUCUUACUGACAGUGAGAAAGCAGUGCCCAGAGGAGUGUUUUGUGUGUCUUUCAGAUCCUCCUCUGCAUCUCAUUACCUUCCCUCCCUCCCAGUGCAGCUCCCAUUACCUUGCACUGUAAUGAUUGUGGCUGUCUCUUAACGUGUGCCUUUGCUUCGUCUUUUUCUUCUCUGAAGCAUCCCACAGGUCUAUGUGAAAACAUUUCUUUCACCAUACAUCCAUUAGCUCUGUGAUUUACCCUUCCUAAGCCUCUGUCUCCCUGUUGGAAAAUGAGGAGACGCGUUUGUUUAUUUUUACACUUCUAAUAUUCUUAUUGUAUGCCACUCCAAAGUGUCUUUUUUUCUCCUUAGUUGACAAACUGUAUCGAAUGUGAAAUGUGUGCCAGGCAUGGGACCACACGUUGGCAACAGCAAGGACAAAUAGGAUACAGCUUCCUGGGCACGGGCUGUGCUCUGACGCAUUGGCCUGUGCCCUCUAUGCUGGAAACUUUUAAAGCUGUAAAAUGUAUAUCUCACGCACAUCAAAGAUGGUGACAGAGAAGAAUUAAGAAAGACAGCAUGUCCAGAGGAGCAAGGGAAAAGAUCUAAAUAAUUUCAUGAAAUGUUCCUUGAUCGCAAGAUUUCCGCAGAAAUGUUCAAGACUGUGAUAUGUAUUCCUGUGCACUGAGACAUCCAGAAUAUCAUAGCCUGCCCUUAACUGUGCAGAAGACCAAGCCACUGAGUAAAUGCAAAUGCUUUGACAUUUUUAUUUGUUUCUUAAAAACCCAAAUAAAAAUGUCAAUUUCAUCAUUCAUUCCUUUUCCCCAAAGCCAGUCUGCUAGUUAGCUGUCUUUAGUCUAUGGCAUGGUGUGAAUACUUGGUGUCAGCACCACCCCCCAGAGGCCAUCAGCAGGACAGGAGGCUGAACAUCUGGCAGCAGGAUCUGGCUUUUCUCCAGAGCUUCUUUCUCCAGUUGACUGGGUUGCCCUGAGUUUCUUUUGUGCUUCCGAGACUCGGAAAAAUCCACUGAGAUGGUCACCAUUCAGUGGCUCUCGCAGACAGACAAUGACCUUAUAUAGGUCUUGUCUCCAGCUAAAGACAGUGGAGACCUGGCAAGAAGGGUGGAGCCAGGUGUGAUAGGGAACUCCCAGGUGGGCAGGCCUGCACCUUGCACACAAGCAGACUGGUGGCAGGCAGUGUUGGCAAUCGCUGCCACCUGGUUGGCCUGCCGGCAGGUGAUACCACAGCUUUGAUUCAUUCGCCUCAUCACUUCCUCUGGCCACGGCCACAGUGAACUCUUCCAGUUGUGAGGACUUCAUGGCAACCUUUGGGUGUUGAGAGUUUGCCGGGAGUGCUUCAGAUGGGGGCAAAGAUCUAGGGGCCAGGACAUGUUUGGCAGAGACAAAGAGCUGUCUCACAGGCGCUCCUGCCAUCUGUGGGGCCUUCACAUGUGGAACCCAGACGCCAGGACAGCGGGGUCCGCGCAGAGCUGUACCUAGUUUGGGGGCACCUCAGCCUGGGGGCUUCCCUAGGUAGAAGUGCCAGCCUGGUAGAGCGAAGGGCCUGCUGAGCUGCUUGGAGGAAGGAGUGACCACGGAGGUCUGUCUUCCAGGAGACAGCCACAGAAUGCGCGGGAGGUGUGAUCUGUUUCCACCCAGGGCCUCUGAGGGUGGGCACCAGGCCCAAGAGGUCCCCUGACCCCCUGGGGUACCUGAGCCCUGUGGGCUAGUGGCUGGCAGGGCUGGGCCGCUCCCCGACCUGCAGACCUGUGCCAGAACCCCUGGUCGGGUGUGCCAUGAGGAAGCACCAGGACCCACCAGGACCCCAAGAGUGGGCGCUGGGCACUGGAGCAGGCCUGCCAUGGGUCAAACAGGGUCAGCCCCAGUCCUAGUCCUUGUGAGAGGUGAAGCUGGCUGGGCUCCUGGGUUGGGUGAGGACUUGGGGAACUUUUAUGUCUAGCUAAAGGAUUGUAAAUGUACCAAUCAGUGCUCUGUGUCUAGCUAAAGGUUUGUGAAUGCACCAAUCAGCACUCUGUAAAAUGGACCAAUCAGCUCUCUGUAAAAUGGACCAAUCAGCACGAUGUGGGUGGGGCCAAAUAAGGGAAUAAAAGCAGGCUGCCCCAGACCCCCAGCAGUGAGCAGGUUGGAUUCUCUUCAGGUUGUGGAAGAUUUGUUCCUUUGCUCUUUGCAAUAAAUCUUGCUGCUGCUGACUUUUAGGGUCCACACCACCUUUAUGAGCUGUAACACCUGGAAGCUCUGCAGGUUCACUCCUGAAAUCAGCCAGACCAGGAACCCACCAGGACUAACAAACAACUCCACUCGCCGUCUUUAAGAGCUAUAACAUAGCGUAGGUCUGGAUUUUCACUCCUGAUGUACAUUUAGGAUUAGGUUCAUUAUUAAUGAUAGUGGAUAUAAAUCAUUUUUUUUCAAAUAACUGUCUUGAUAAUUACCUUUUUUGGGGACUGAUUUUGUCUGAUUAGGUAGUUGUUUCUAUUUUAUAAUAAAGCUGGAGAGCAGAA